rnacentral:sRNA from 1 species
UCUUGGCUUAGUAAGCUCUGCAGCCUUGGCAUCACCCAUCCUGAAGAAGGAGUUCCUUCUAGUUCCCAGAAGCACUGCACAGGACUGGAUAAAGAGACCGUGUUCCUCAAGAGGACAACCUUCCUUGACAGAAAGGCCCAUUCUCCAGUCAAGGGUGUACAAGUAGCUGUGUUCCCCUCCUAGAACCUCCAAACAAGCUCUCAAGAAGACGUGCUACGUAUACACAAUAGAGUACUAUUCAGCCAUAAAGAAGAAUGAAAUGGGAGUUUUUGCUUCCAUUUCCAGUGUGGGGAACAGGAAAUGCUUCUCUCUCUUU